UAUUUUUUCGAUAGAUUUAUAAUGAUUUGGAGAGAAUCUACAGGGGGAAAAUCAUCGUAAAGUAGGAAUUCGGGCAUGCGGCUUUAUUUUUUUGACAAACAACUAUGGAAAGUAAAAGGAUAAUAUCUACUCCUUCAGGGUAUGCAACUUUAGUGAUGAUGGUGGGAGAAUGCGAUCUUUGCAUGGGAGGACUAGCGGCCCUACAAGGGGUUCCACAAAAGGUCUAUGGACAGAAGAGAUGAGAUAUUGCAGAAGGCUGUUCAACGAUUCAAGGGAAAGAAUUGGAAGGAAAUUGCGGAAUGUUUCAAGGAUUGGAUGGAUGUACAGUGCUUACAUAGGUGGCAAAAAGUCUUGAAUCCAUAACUUGUUAAACGUCCAUGGUCUAAGGAGGUAA